rnacentral:rRNA from 1 species
UAAGACGGAGGGGGCUAGCGUUGUUCGGAAUUACUGGGCGUAAAGAGUGCGUAGGCGGUUUAGUAAGUUGGAAGUGAAAGCCCGAGGCUUAACCUCGGAACUGCUUUCAAAACUACUAAUCUAGAGUGUAGUAGGGGAUGAUGGAAUUCCUAGUGUAGAGGUGAAAUUCUUAGAUAUUAGGAGGAACACCGGUGGCGAAGGCGGUCAUCUAGGCUACAACUGACGCUGAUGCACGAAAGCGUGGGGAGCAAACAGG